GCGAUAAUUUUCUAUAGCACAUAUACUAAAAUUGGAACAAUGCUGAGAUUAGCAUGACCCCUGUCCAAGGAUGACACAAAUUUAUGAAGCCUUCCAUAAAAAC
ensembl:snRNA U6 U6 spliceosomal RNA